rnacentral:rRNA from 1 species
UGGGGAAUUUUGGACAAUGGGGGAAACCCUGAUCCAGCCAUCCCGCGUGUGCGAUGAAGGCCUUCGGGUUGUAAAGCACUUUUGGCAGGAAAGAAACGUCAUGGGUUAAUACCCCGUGAAACUGACGGUACCUGCAGAAUAAGCACCGGCUAACUACGUGCCAGCAGCCGCGGUAAUACGUAGGGUGCAAGCGUUAAUCGGAAUUACUGGGCGUAAAGCGUGCGCAGGCGGUUCGGAAAGAAAGAUGUGAAAUCCCAGAGCUCAACUUUGGAACUGCAUUUUUAACUGCCGGGCUAGAGUGUGUCAGAGGGAGGUGGAAUUCCGCGUGUAGCAGUGAAAUGCGUAGAUAUGCGGAGGAACACCGGUGGCGAAGGCAGCCUCCUGGGAUAACACUGACGCUCAUGCACGAAAGCGUGGGGAGCAAACAGG